rnacentral:tRNA from 8 species
GGCGGAAUUGGUAGACGCGCUAGCUUCAGGUGUUAGUGUUCUUACGGACGUGGGGGUUCAAGUCCCCCC